CCCCUGCUCUUCAUUAAAAUAGCGUUGUCCUCCCUUCUCGCGAAGCCAACCUUCAAACUCACCAUCUGCGCCAAGCACAAACGGGUGAGGUGGCGCUCCACAAAAUUGCUUGGACUUGGGCCCUGACGAGUUCCUCGGGUGAGGUGUCUGGGGGCCAUGGAUCGUUCGGGGAGGAGUGCGCACACGGUGCAGGCCUCACCACCACUGAAUUGCUCGCAGGAGAGAUUGCUUCACCACCGGGCCGCACCUUCUCGUGGUCAGACUUCUUCGUCGCUUGACCGCCGGUGAGUAUUACCUCAUCGCCUCCGCUACUAUCUGCUCCACGUGUAGCGCCGUUCAGAGGGUUGGAUUGUGCACUAAUUCAUUUGGUCGUCGCGCGUCGGCGGGGUCACCACCGUGGUUGACCAGCGGCGCCGCCGCUUUACAUCGACAGGGUGGAGGAGUGAAGCUCAGCCAUUGGAUCUCUGGGUGAUGGCUGUGAUUAGAGUUCCUGGUACCGCUUCGGUGGGAUGAUCCGAGCCGUUGAUUCUCCAUCGGGUAGAUCUGCGGUGAUCUUCAUAGAUCAAUGAUCUCAGUCGUAGGAUUAGAAUCGAGCGUAUAUGAGCGGGCCGUGUGUUUCCAUUAUGGGAUUGGCUUUGGACCGUUGGAUCUAGAUCCAAGGAUAUGCACGUUAUACCGAUUCGAAAAGAGUUGCAGAUCUAAUCGGUGUCAUUCGCUUUAGAUUGGACGGCCGAGAACCUGCCAUACCCCUUUGUCGCGUUCAUUUUGCAAAAGAACCCUCGCAGAUUCACCAAAACAACCCACGGUUCGUCCUGGCGUUUACUGAGUUUGUGUAGAUUUUGCUAAUUAGCCAUGCACCUUUUUAGAAUUUGACGCGCAGUCCAGAGAGCAAUGAAAAUACAAAAUUAAUUAUAGAAAUUGGUUUUUAAUACAAAAAUAAUUCCAGAAACUUGUGUAAUUCAUAUUUAAUUCAUUUUAGCUCCAAAUUGACCCAUUCCAGUUGCAAUAAUUUUGUAUUAAUAUUGUAUAUCAACUAGUACCUCUGUUUAGCCAUGAAAAUUGAAUUUAAAUUGUUCACUUGAGUUACUCUAUUCUAUGUACUAAAUAACUUCAGAAAAUCAUAACUAGAGAAUCGUAACUCCGAAUUUAGUGAUUCUUGUUCCUACGAACUCGUUACUACACUUAGAAUAUUAUCAUGCAUUCUAUUCUGUUGUUUGGUGUGAUGUUAAUUUCUACUAUAAUAUGUUUGUUUGUAUUGAUGCGAGUAGACGAGCAAGCCACAAAGGAUCCAGGGGUUCAGCUGGUGGAGACUGCUGAGCAGGAGCUCGUUGAAGGCAAGUUGUGCCCUUGAUCACUUCUUUUACCCAAUCAUGUUCUUAUUAAUCAUAAUGAUCUGCAUAGGUUAAUUUUGAUGGGAUCCUUUAGGUUACCCUAGUUUGACUAUCUUUAUACCUUGAUUCCACUGAACUUUUUGGGUAGUACUUGCUAUUGCUUUAUGUGGUUUUGGGUAUGGAGAUACACAUUAUUCAUGAUCACAUUUUUAUUAUCAGUUUGUUACUUAUUGUCCAUGAUAAGAUCAUUAUGUUAAUUAGAACAUGGAGCGACCACCCGAGAAAACAGUGCUACCACAAGGGUGGUAUGGGAAUCCCUUGGCUGACUAACUAGGAAAGCUAGUGGAGGACUACCUUACCCGAUAGGGACAAGGGCAGUAGGGGAGUGGUUAGUGUGGGGAGGCCCUUGGGUUGAUUUUGCUGCGAUGGCGGUCAGCCGAGGGGUUCAUGCAUUGGAGAUUCUUAGAAACUGUAGCGGACUUUCUGAAGCUAGUGAAACUUUGUAAAGGCCUCAUAGUGUUACCCUGCCUCGCUUCCUUGGUGUAUGUGAUUCAUGACCCGUUGGAAAAUAGGUAACAUGACUUGUGGGUAAAGAUGUGCAACCUCCGCAGAGUGUAAAACUGAUAUACUAGCCGUGCUCACGGUAAUGAGCAGCUCGGACCCUCACAUGAUUAAUUUAUGGAAUUAAACUCAAUUUGUCAUUUGCAUUGCAUUGGGAUUAUUUAUUAUUACUUUUGUUUAUUAUUACUAUGGUUUGAUAUUUACUUACACUUAGUGACUGCUAAUAAAAAUUUGACAAACUUAUAAAAGUGAUGCUCAACUUCAACCUUUAUUUUGUUGAUCAGCCUUACACUUCACAUGAACUCCCACCUUUGGCGAGUUCGUGCACAUUAUUCCCCACAACUUGUUGAGUUAUGGUCUUUUGUGAGCUCACUAUUGUGAUAUAACCCCCCCCACACAGGUGAAGAGCAGGUGGUCGAAGAGGAGGCACAUAACGAGGAGUUCGACUUGAUCUAGAUGGCGUCUCCCAGUCAACUUUGUGGCUCCAGGGAAAUAAUAGUUAGUUCGUUUUAUAUUUAUCAUUUAUUUUGUAAGACUUCCGCUAUGUAAUAAGUACAUUUAUGUUAUUU
rnacentral:lncRNA from 1 species